UACCCAUCUAAGGUUGUUGGGAUUACUGAGCCAAUACUUGUAAAGUGUUCAAAAUGCCAGUGCUGUUUAUUGGUUCAGAGCUGGAGAAAACAAGAGUAGACCCGGAUGGAGGGACACAUCCAGGUUCCCCUUUCUCAUUUCAGCUUCUACUUCAGACAGGCUUUUUCCAUUGCCAAAGGCCACUUCAGUCUGAUAUCAUGUCAGUUUAAUGGUAUCAGAAGAAAAGAGAGCAGUGUUUCCCCGUUUUGAUGUAGCACUGUCCUUAUAAAUCCCGAAGAAUGGCUCUGCUUGGCUGAGCUUGGCCAUGAUCACCCAUAGUUUCUCGAGGUGCCAUGAUUGAGAUCGGAGCCACUUGCCUGGAGGAAGGACAGGCUGUUUUCCACAGGGGCGGGAUGUUCUUACCAGAAGGACAGAAGGCAGUUGAGUAACCAGGAUGACAGAUGCUGCUAUGCAAGGGUCGUGGGUGCACCUGGGUUGGCACAGCUUCUGAUCCAGGAGGAUUACAGGAUGAGCUUAUCAUGGAACAUAAGAAAAAUAAAACAGAUGUCAGCCUGUGUAUGAAGAAUUCAUCCACAAGGUUUGCUCACUCUUCAAU
rnacentral:lncRNA from 1 species